UGGGGAAUAUUGGACAAUGGGCGCAAGCCUGAUCCAGCAAUGCCGCGUGAGUGAUGAAGGCCUUAGGGUUGUAAAGCUCUUUCGGCGGGGACGAUGAUGACGGUACCCGCAGAAGAAGCCCCGGCUAACUUCGUGCCAGCAGCCGCGGUAAUACGAAGGGGGCGAGCGUUGUUCGGAAUUACUGGGCGUAAAGGGCGCGUAGGCGGCCCUCGAAGUCAGGCGUGAAAGCCCCGGGCUCAACCUGGGAAUUGCGUUUGAUACUCGUUGGCUGGAGUUCGGGAGAGGAGAGUGGAAUUCCCAGUGUAGAGGUGAAAUUCGUAGAUAUUGGGAAGAACACCGGUGGCGAAGGCGGCUCUCUGGACCGAGACUGACGCUGAUGCGCGAAAGCGUGGGGAGCAAACAGGAUUAGAUACCCUGGUAGUCCACGCUGUAAACGAUGUGCGCUAGACGUUGGGGAGCCUAGCUCUUCGGUGUCGCAGCAAACGCGAUAAGCGCACCGCCUGGGGAGUACGGCCGCAAGGUUA
rnacentral:rRNA from 1 species